UGCGUAGGUGGUCGUUUAAGUCCGUUGUGAAAGCCCUGGGCUCAACCUGGGAACUGCAGUGGAUACUGGACGACUAGAGUGUGGUAGAGGGUAGCGGAAUUCCUGGUGUAGCAGUGAAAUGCGUAGAGAUCAGGAGGAACAUCCAUGGCGAAGGCAGCUACCUGGACCAACACUGACACUGAGGCACGAAAGCGUGGGAGCAAACA
rnacentral:rRNA from 1 species